rnacentral:rRNA from 1 species
GACGAACGCUGGCGGCGUGCUUAACACAUGCAAGUCGAACGGAAAGGCCCUGCUUUUGUGGGGUGCUCGAGUGGCGAACGGGUGAGUAACACGGGAGUAACCUGCCCUUGACUUUGGGAUAACUUCAGGAAACUGGGGCUAAUACCGGAUAUGAGCUCCUGCUGCAUGGUGGGGGGUGGAAAGUUUCGGCGGUUGGGGAUGGACUCGGGGCUUAUCAGCUUGUUGGUGGGGUAGUGGCUUACCAAGGCUUUGACGGGUAGCCGGCCUGAGAGGGUGACCGGCCACAUUGGGACUGAGAUACGGCCCAGACUCCUACGGGAGGCAGCAGUGGGGAAUAUUGCACAAUGGGCGGAAGCCUGAUGCAGCAACGCCGCGUGCGGGAUGACGGCCUUCGGGUUGUAAACCGCUUUCGCCUGUGACGAAGCGUGAGUGACGGUAAUGGGUAAAGAAGCACCGGCUAACUACGUG